GUAUUCACCAUAUCAUUGAUUUUGUAGAUCUUUAAUCCCUGCUCAUGGAAAUCCAAGAGGAAGUAGAAAAAGAGAAUCAGGUGCUUCUACUGCCUUCUUUUCCAAUUUCCCCUCUACUAGAAAGAUGGACGGCAGGCAUAGCCCACAAGGGCCCCUCUGUCACCUUCAGAGGACAGUCACCCGCCCUCCUGUCAUGUAGCAACGUGGUCACUUUUCCAAAAAUAAAGGCAGGGAUUAGGAUUCGCUGUUCCUGGAACAACUGUUCUGGUUUAUUAAUACAUUUUUGUAGUUGCCUAGUUUACCCCAAGGCCUGAACCUUAAUUCUUCCACUGUAAUAUUAGACAUAACUAUAACUCCAGGAAACACUUUUCUUCCCGCUAAAAUGAUGGCUUGCAGGUCCCCUGAGGUUUCAGCAGGGAUGCUUCUCUGGGGAAGAUGCAUGCAGACACGAAAUGGCAGUGAUACCUGUAUACAGACUCCCAACACACAGUGACACAGCAGCUCAGACAGAGUGAAAUGCAUACAGAGAUAGCCUUGCACAUACUUACUGGCACAUUUUUUAGCUGAGGGGUUUCCAAAGCUGAGAUUACUCUUUUCUCGUCCACUUCCUGAAGAUAUCCCACUCCCCCCACCAAAAGAAAGGAGGAAAACUAAGGUAUUAUUGGAUUCUAUUUGAUAAUUUGGGAGUGAUUCCUGUGGAUUUUAUUUUCUUGGACAUACCUUUCCAUAGAUUUGAUUUUUGGUGGUAAGGGAGAAGCCUUAUCAGUUUUCUACCUCAGUGAUUUAA